GAUGAACGCUGGCGGCGUGCCUAAUACAUGCAAGUCGAGCGAACAGACGAGGAGCUUGCUCCUCUGACGUUAGCGGCGGACGGGUGAGUAACACGUGGAUAACCUACCUAUAAGACUGGGAUAACUUCGGGAAACCGGAGCUAAUACCGGAUAAUAUAUUGAACCGCAUGGUUCAAUAGUGAAAGACGGUUUAGCUGUCACUUAUAGAUGGAUCCGCGCCGCAUUAGCUAGUUGGUAAGGUAACGGCUUACCAAGGCGACGAUGCGUAGCCGACCUGAGAGGGUGAUCGGCCACACUAGAACUGAGACACGGUCCAGACUCCUACGGGAGGCAGCAGUAGGGAAUCUUCCGCAAUGGGCGAAAGCCUGACGGAGCAACGCCGCGUGAGUGAUGAAGGUCUUCGGAUCGUAAAACUCUGUUAUUAGGGAAGAACAAAUGUGUAAGUAACUAUGCACGUCUUGACGGUACCUAAUCAGAAAGCCACGGCUAACUACGUG
rnacentral:rRNA from 1 species